ACCUACGGGGCGCAGCAGUGAGGAAUAUUGGUCAAUGGCCGGAAGGCUGAACCAGCCAAGUCGCGUGAGGGACGACUGCCCUAUGGGUUGUAAACCUCUUUUAUAAGGGAAGAAUAAAUGCUACGUGUAGCAUGAUGCCUGUACCUUAUGAAUAAGCAUCGGCUAACUCCGUGCCAGCAGCCGCGGUAAUACGGAGGAUGCGAGCGUUAUCCGGAUUUAUUGGGUUUAAAGGGUGCGCAGGCGGCGUGUCAAGUCAGCGGUAAAAUGUCGGGGCUCAACCCCGGCCGGCCGUUGAAACUGGCGUG
rnacentral:rRNA from 1 species